rnacentral:rRNA from 1 species
UACAGAGGGUGCGAGCGUUGUCCGGAAUCACUGGGCGUAAAGGGCGCGUAGGCGGCGCGGUAAGCGUGCGGUGAAAGCCCGGGGCUCAACCCCGGGUCGGCCGUGCGGACUGCCGGGCUGGAGCACUGUAGAGGCAGGUGGAAUUCCGGGUGUAGCGGUGGAAUGCGUAGAGAUCCGGAAGAACACCAGUGGCGAAGGCGGUCUGCUGGGCAGUAGCUGACACUGAUGCGCGACAGCGUGGGGAGCAAACAGG